rnacentral:pre_miRNA from 14 species
GCCCCGGGGGCGGCUGGUGGCCUUUGAGGCGGAGUUCUGUCAUACACUCGGACUGUGCUACCUGGGGUCAGUGCAUCACAGAACUUUGUCUCGAGCGCCCGGAUCCGUCNGUGCCCCCG